AAUGAACGUUGGCGGCGUGGAUUAGGCAUGCAAGUCGAACGGGCCCGCAAGGGUCAGUGGCGGAAGGGUGAGUAAGGCGACGGCAACCAACCCCGAGGAUGGGUACAGCCGCGGGAAACUGCGGGUAAUGCCCAGCGAUGCGAGGGCGUCGGCAUCGACGCUUCGCAAAAUGGAUUCGUCCGCGUCGGGACGGGCCGUCGUGGUAUUAGGUUGUUGGCGGGGUAACGGCCCACCAAGCCUGCGAUGCCUACCGGGCGUGCGAGCGUGGCCCGGCACACUGGGACUGAGACACUGCCCAGACUCCUACGGGAGGCUGCAGUCGAGAAUCUUCGGCAAUGGGCGCAAGCCUGACCGAGCGACGCCGCGUGGAGGACGAAGGCCUUCGGGUUGUAAACUCCUGUCGAGGGGGAGAAAGGCUCCGCGAGGGGCCUGAUCGAUCCCUGGAGGAAGCACGGGCUAAGUUCGUGCCAGCAGCCGCAGUAAGAC
rnacentral:rRNA from 1 species